CCCAUUCUCACUCCAAAGGCGUCAAAAACCGAAGCAUGGUCAAGCGCCCCUAGCGUCACUUUUAUGACGCCAAAUGUGCCUCUCGGCGUCGACUAUGGAAGCACUACGACCUUCAUUGCUUUCAGUGGGAAACUUUUGGCGUCAGAAUUCGACACGAGGACAUGAGAUGUUUAUCGCUAUGAAAUCACGUUCAAGAAGUCUCAUUCAGCACACAUCGCGCGAUACUUGCUAUCAGUUCCACAGUUUGGCUGAAAAGACGUAAAGGCAGUCAGCCCAGUGGUGUUUCUGGAGAGGGAUUCCUUCAGAAAUGGAGAAGACAGAAAGCUGCGGAGGCAGAUAUUUGCAGCAUGUUCGAGUGAGCAUGAUGACCACGAGUGUGUGUCGAACUUUUCAUGACCUGAUGACUGUGUUUCCCAAUCCUGAUCCUGGAGAACCCCAGCACUGCACGGUUUUGGUGUCUCUCUUAUCUGCCUUGGAGUCUUCACUGAUGAGCUGAUGAGUUGAAUCAGGUGUGUUUGAUCAGGGAGACAUCUCAAAUGUGCAGUGUUGGGGUUCUCCAGGACCAGGAUUGGGAGCCACUGCCUUAUGGGACACUUAUGUGUUUAAAGAGAUUUUUAAUAUCUAAUUAUCAAUAUUUCACAUACUGUACAUUGGACAGCUUUCCAUGACCUCUUGUGAGAUCUCGGCAAAAAGUCUGACGAUUUAUUCCAAAACAUGAUGCAUGAUGGGAUACACUAAGCUUUGUAUAGUGCUCCAGAGCAGUAUUGGAGAGGUUUAGUGUGUGUUAAGGACGCUGUGCUUUGGCAUUAUUAAGACCGGGGACAGUCUUGUGCACACACUGUCACGUACACACACUCUCAAGUGGCCAAGACUGCAAGUGUGGGUAUCUGGACAGGGUCAAAGUCUUAAAAAUGAUCCCUAAACACAUCACAGUCUUAAUAAUCCAGUUUAACACUUGUAUGAUAUUGUACAAGCCCCAGGACUGUCUCAUCUGACACUAUCAAAGAAUUCAUAUGACUAUAGCUUGUUAUUAAUUACUUGCUUUCAAUAAUGGAUUCAUUUAACAUUUAAUUAUACAGCAUCUUUACAGAGGUGUAAUGUACAAGCUGCACGUAAUUAAUAAUAUGUCCUUCCUUCUGUCUUACAGGAUUUUUUCCAGAUAAUGCUGUUCUUCUUUUUCAGGUCUAAAAUAUCGAGCUCAACAGCUAUUUUAAGAGCCAACCCUCACAAACCUUCCUAAAACCUAAAAGAGCUAUUACUGAGUCUCAGCGAAUCUUGCCAUGAUCAGCUCUUCCCAGAAGAGAAGGAAGACCAAGGAUAUGAUUUGCUCAGGAUGAGGAAUGAAGAUGGCCAUCUUGAGCUCAAACAAACAGAAGUCCUCUGAUGAUCUCAUCAGCCAAAUGAGGGGUUUUGACCAAGUGAUGCUCUUGAAAGGAGUGAAAGAAGAGGAUGUGGUAAAUUGUCUUCAGAGAAAAGCUUCUCAAAAGAUCUUAAAACAGCUUGAAGAAUGGUCUGGGAUCUUAGGACUGAGAGAUCAUCUGGCUGAGAACAAGCUACACCUCAUCAGUGCUGGACAUCAACCACAAACUGUUUCCAGACACGAGAGAAGAAGAUCACGAUGGGGAGAUGAAACCAGUUUAGAUGUGAUGAUGGGAAUCAUUAUUUUCUGAAACAGUAUCACAUGUCUAAUAUGUAUCACAUGAUCUGUAUCACAGUUGACUGGAUGGGACUGUGUGACUUUUAAGGACAUUUCAUCACUCAUCUGUGUGAACUGAUUUAUAUAUGAGGUUAAUGUAUCUUUGAUGAUAAUUAUUUUCAUUGAAUCUUAUUUGUCUUGAUGCUACUUUAUCAAGUUUAUAGUCUAUGCUUCAAUAAAAUGAAAAUGGUGAAUAUUGUGUUCUGAAGAUUCUUGGUAAAUACAUAAUUUUACUAGGUAGGCUCAUAUGUGUUUAUUUUAGACUUGGAAAAACGACAUAUUAAUUAUUGGGAUUAUUUUUUUAUUUAAGACAUGAACAUUUUUGAUCGGAUUAAUAACAUCUGGGACAUCAGUACACCAGAAAGUAAUUUUUUUAUAUUUUAGUAACAAAUAUGCACAUUUUUUGUGAAAUACAGGGAGUUACAAGAUUAAUUAUUCUGCAUUACAAGAUGGUGCCAUGGGCUUUAUUGUUACAAACACUUGAGGGAUAACUGAGAAUGUAGCAGGAAUGAUCAACGUGGAUCUUGUACUGCAUUAAAACCAAGAGCACGCACAUUACUGAUGUCCAGCACAUGAGGAGCAAGAUACGGGGGUGAG